CUUUUAGAACAUGGCCCACAACAGAGUUAAUGUCAGGGGAAAAAAAAAAGGUACUCAAGCUCCACCACGCAUAAUACUUCCAAAUCCUAUCAAAGAAGAUUCUUUAUACUUUAGAAAUUACCUUGAGGAGGAUGUACAUUGUUUCCUUUUGCACUCUGCUGUGCCUUAGAUGUUGAUCGUUGGAUGCGUGGAGAAACUUGCCUACCAGUGGCACCAGGUAAGGAAUGUCUCUUCUUAACUUCGAUAUCUCCUUCAUGUACAUCUGGACUUGAUCUUGGAGAGUUAUUUGCAUUAACCUUGGCCCUAGCAGAUUCUGUAGCUUGCAUGAAAUGGGGUAGAGAAUUGUUGUUAGUACUAUUAUCUCUAGAUUCUUGAUCAAUGUUAUCAGGCUUUACUGAGCCAAAGGAAUUGCGCCUCUUUCCAUUCUGCUGAUCUUUAGGCAGUUGCUCCCUACUGUCUUUCGAGCCUGAAUCAUGAUUUGGAUUUGUAGGUGAUUUGUUACUCAAUGAUAGGCUCCGACGUUUAUUGCCAGAUCUAGUCUUGUUGAUAGUGCUAUCUUUAGGUUUCACAGACACUUCACUUGAAGGC
rnacentral:lncRNA from 1 species